AUUAUCCCUAGGUGUGUAGGUAUGAGCAUAACUGUCAGGACUUCUGCUUGUACAUUCUCUGCCGGAACCUGCUUGGACAUUCUCUGACAUACUCAAAUGAUUUACCUUUCCUGACAGAAGAACUCCACCACUACAGACCCAGUGGGAUUCUCCAAGCUUACCUGACGACUUGCUGCCUCGUCAUGUGCCUUGCUUCCUCCACUGCCCUUGUCAUGUGCUUCGCAGGAUUUGCAUGUCGGGAGCAGCACCUUGACGGGGAAAUAGUGCCAGGACUUCUGCUUGGACAUUCUCUGACAGAACAUUAGGGGGUUUUCCAGCAGUGUGUUUUCUGUCACAUGUCUUGUCUUACUUACCUGGUUGUAAUUUGUUUAAUUAUUAUGUGUUUUUAUAUCCAUCGCGUUGCUUCACGGAGUAGUCCUUUGUCGUCUUUUGUGUUUAUGAUUUUUGUUUCUAGUUAUUGUGUAUUUACAGUA